AUACCCGCGGCCCGAGUGGUGCUCAUUAUUAUUGAGCUUAAAGCGUCCGUAGCCGGCCUCGUAAAUCUUUGGGUAAAUCGGGCAGCUUAACUGUCCGAAUUCCGAGGAGACUGCGAGGCUCGGGACCGGGAGAGGUUCGAGGUACUCAGGGGGUAGGGGUAAAAUCCUGUAAUCCUCAGAGGACCACCAGUGGCGAAGGCGUCGAACUAGAACGGAUCCGACGGUGAGGGACGAAGCCCUGGGGCGCAAACGGGAUUAGAUACCCCGGUAGUCCAGGGUGUAAACGCUGCGGGCUUGGUGUCGGGGGUCCUACGUGGGCGUCCGGUGCCGGAGAGAAAUUGUUAAGCCUGCCGCUUGGGGAGUACGGUCGCAAGACUGAAACUCAAAUGAAUUGGCGGGG
rnacentral:rRNA from 1 species